rnacentral:tRNA from 1 species
GCCCCCGUAGUUUAAUGGAUAGAACGCGGGCCUCCGGAGCCCGUAAUGCAGGUUCGAUUCCUGCCGGGGGCACCA